ensembl:lncRNA
GCCUGUGUGAAAUGUUUGUUAGCAAAUAUUACAAUUUAUAUACAGAAAUAUAAAUACCGCUAAAUAUUUCAAGGAAAAUGUAUUAGAGAAAAUAUAUCUGAACAAGGAACACCCUUGACCCAAAAAGCAGGUGUCACAGAAUGAGGAACAUAAACCAUUCAACUUAAUAGAAAACCAAAUGGCUGAUUCUCUGUUGGUGUGAUCUUCUCAAGGACAAAAGGUGUGUUUUGUAAGGAGGAUGCAGUGAGAGGACGUGGCCUGCUGACCCCCGAGAGACCCAUCCUUGGCAGGCAUGAUCAUCAGGCUGAGCAGGCUGACCCCGGGGUACUCCCGCCUGCUCCAGGUACCGUCCGUCCGCCUUCAGCUCAU